rnacentral:rRNA from 1 species
AACGAACGCUGGCGGCAUGCCUAACACAUGCAAGUCGAACGAGACCUUCGGGUCUAGUGGCGCACGGGUGCGUAACGCGUGGGAACCUGCCCUUAGGUUCGGAAUAACUCCCCGAAAGGGGUGCUAAUACCGGAUAAUGUCUUCGGACCAAAGAUUUAUCGCCUUUGGAUGGGCCCGCGUUGGAUUAGCUAGUUGGUAGGGUAAAAGCCUACCAAGGCGACGAUCCAUAGCUGGUCUGAGAGGAUGAUCAGCCACACUGGGACUGAGACACGGCCCAGACUCCUACGGGAGGCAGCAGUGGGGAAUCUUGGAAAAUGGGCGAAAGGCUGAACCAGCAAUGCCGCGUGAGUGAUGAAGGCCUUAGGGUUGUAAAGCUCGUUUACCCGGGAUGAUAAUGACAGUACCGGGAGAAUAAGCUCCGGCUAACUCCGUG